UGGGCAUGUGCCAGGUGGAGGAGCCGUGGGAUUAGGAGCUGUUGGAGGGGCUGCAGGUGCUGAAGACACAAAGCUAAUGGCAAAAACAAGGACCAAAGCGAACGAGCAGAGAGAAACAGAGGAGAGGGAGAGUGAAGAAGAGGAGCUAGAAGAGCUCAGGAAAGAACUGGAGAAACGUAAGAGAAAGGAGGAAAGUAGAGAAACAGGAAGCAAAUUAAGGAGUGCAAGCAGGAGGAAUGAAGAAGAAAGUAGCCAAGACGAAGAUAAAAGGAGCAGCAGUGAGGACAGCAAUGAAGGCCAAGGAAAGACAGUUGAAGGAAAAUAAAACGAAGGAUGGAAAGACACUGAAGAAGGCACAGCUGAUGUACUACUCUGGAGGAGGAAGAGGACACCAGGAAAAUGGUGGCAACCAAGGAAACGGAGGAGGUAGAGAGAGAGGUAGAGGCCAAGGGGCCCCUGCUGGAGCUGAUGGAGGGAGAGACUGGAGCUGCUACAACUGUGGCAAGAUGGCAGCAGUUCCAGCUCCCACCAACCCUUUCUAUGUUGAUGACGUGGUUGCUUUGCAGGCAACGGCUGAUGAGUCAGAGAGACUUAAGUGGGCUGGGUACUGUCGUAAAGACGCAUCGGGUGUAUGGCUGGAUGAGAGGAGCAGACCGUUGUACUUUCCAUUUCCUUGCCAAAUUGUCACAUGGUCAGGAUCAUAUGUCCAAAGGAGGGAUGGUGGAUCUUUGUUCUCAAGACUCUCGUUCCUCGAGUGAAGGCGUCUUUGCUGAACUUGGCAGGUGGAGCUGAGCACUGUUUGAGCCCAGGUGAUUUCGUGGUGGUCAAAGACUUCAGGAGAAAGAGUUGGAAGAGGGGUCCAAGUUCCAAGUUCUUCUGACCACCCCCACUGUGGUGAAGGUUGCUGAGAGAGAUACCUGGAUCCACGUGUUGCACUGCAGACGAGUUCCUGAUCCAGGAGAAAUGAGGCUUUGCCAGUUCAAGUGGUGCAGUCUGGCCCUCUGUGUUAGCACAGGAGUGCUUAUAAGAACAGUAGGUUGUCCUAUUGUCGGAAACCUGACAGAGGAUGAGAUAAGUCCUGAGCCAACGGGGCCAAUGCCGGUCCGGAGUAGUGGCACAGAAGUAGAUGAUCAUUGGGCCCUCAUAACCAUGAGGAAAAUCUGUUCCUCUCUAGAGCAGAAAUGGUUGCUAAUCUUACAUCUGGACAAAACGAGUGUGUGGGUUGGGGCCAAUUAAGGUAGGAGCAGGUUACCACUUGUGGGAGUUUCCAUAGGGGUCAAUCUGAAUAUACAAAUAGCCUUGACCCUGACCCCAUGAUGUUUUCUGCAUUAUAUAACCACAUAGGCCCACCAUCGUUUGAUAGGCCAGAGAAUACUUUACUCCCACCCAUGUCAGUAGCAGGAGUGAUUGCAGCCCCUUGGUGUAUUAGAGGAGAAAGAAGUAAUCAUUUGGGUGAACUAGAAUGUAAUUGUACAAUGUAUUACAAAGGGUCCAAUACCUGUAAGUUAACUGUUAACAAUGCCGUCACUGGAUGAGCUUUCUUUUCCCCCUGUAGAUAAGGACGAUGAGUGAGAAUUGGAGGUUGUUUUUGUUUGACAAGUUUAGAUGGCCCAAGCGGAUUUGUUUUAUGUUUUGACUAGUCUCAGGAACAGUUGGUGCGGAACAGAUGUCGCUGCAACCCGAUGGUGGUAACAACUAUGUAAACAAUGGUUAAACAUUGAGAGAUUUAGUCAACCCUAAAUUUGCAGAUCCCUUGUGUAUGUGUGUGCAAUUUAUAUUGUAAAACCCAGAGUGAAGGGCUUGUAAGAUUGGAGUGUCUGGUGCAACGUGUUGAUUUCACUUACUUUAAUAAAACCUCCUUUGAUAGAAGCUAUAAUCUAAUGCUUACAUAAAAUGUUUACAAUAAUUAUCACAGUAAUAAAAGAAGGGAAUGUGAGGGAAAAGUUAUGUUCAAUAAUCAAAUCAAUGCUACAAAAUAUCGAAUCAAGGCUACUUUCUAAUAACUAAUUAGAAAGGUUCAUGCAGGUGACUGACUGAUCGUCUAUGGAGGAAUCCUCACUAUCACUGUUCAUCAACUUGGUAGUACGCCCAGAAUAUUGCUAUGGGAACAACCAAGGUAUCUCAGUUUCAAGGUCUCAACUUGGAGAGAGAGCCUCGUGAGGUAUUGGUCAGUCACAUGUGCGAGCCACCAGUAGUGAUUAAUGAAUUAUGCUAAAUCAUGCAAAUAUAACUUGUCUGUGUAUAGCCGAAUAUAAGACAACUGCAGGGACCACCCCAACAGAGCUUCUGAUAGAUGUGUGCAGAGUUUGCUGUAACCUCUCCAGCUUGCUGAUAAUAAAGAGUGAUUCAUUUUAAGGUUGG
rnacentral:lncRNA from 1 species